AAUUAAUGAGCUAAAAGCAUAAAACAAAAAGUUCGAAAACAUCAAAACCCCGUUAGAGAAGUAACACCUUUAUCCUUCUCCUGGUGUUUUGUGACCAAACAUUUUUGCAGAGGCCUCUUUUCAAUGACAUCGACUCCAGUUGUAGAAACACAAACCCUUCUCCUUGAUCCUUCUUAUGAAGAUAACGACGUUUUCUUCCAACACAUAUAUGACCUGUUAUUUCACCAGAAUUCCUUUAUUAUGAGAGAUGAGAAUAACGUAACUGAAGCUGUAGUUAACAGUAACAUGAUGAAUUUCAACAGCAGCGACAUCAAUGUACACAUGGCCAAGCACAUCCCCAGAAAAAGAUCAAGAAAGAGAAAUCAGCGUGUCAAGAUUAAUACUGCUCGAGGACCAAGGGAAAGGAGAAUGAGAUUGUCCGUUAAAGUUGCCCCGGAUUUUUUCAAACUGCAAGAUUUGCUAGGCUGUGACACGGCCAGCAAAACCCUUGAGUGGUUACUCAUAAAUUCAAAAGAUGAAAUCAAGAAGCUGGAAAUAGAGAAGAAGCAUAGUUUCGGCGUUGGUGUCAAGAGUGCUUCUUCUACUUCUAAGUAUCAAACUGUGUCUGGCAUUGAUCCUGUGGCAAUUCAUGACAGAGAUCAGCAGGACAGUGUUUUGGAAGAGAAAACUUCGACGAAAGAGAAGAAGAUUGGGCAGUCAGUGUUACGCAAGAGUGCAUUUCACCCUCUUGCAAGGGAGUCAAGGAAGAAAGCAAGGGAAAGGGCACGGGAGAGGGCUCGGGAGAGGGCAAGAGUAAAGACGAGGAGUCGGGUAGAUGAAUCGAAGUUAUGUGAAGUGGCAAGCAAUUGUAACUUAAGCCAAUUAGGUUCUUGGAGUAAAUUUGAAUCUGCAGAAGAAUCUGGAACCCAAAGCCAUAACAUGAACACUUUUGAGCUAAGGGAGCUACCUGAGGCUGAAGAAGGAAGCGUUCACGCCGGAGAACAUUUAGGGGCUUCGGAAGACAUGGUUGACGAUGAUUAUUUGCUGAUUUUCAAUUCUCACAAUACUGGAACUCUCCCGGAGCGUCAAUUUGCAGACUUUGAAUUCUUUGACGAACCAUGGGACGCCUACAAAUAAAAUAUGCUAACAAGGAUUAUCUCUCAGAUGCGUCAAGAGAAUAAACAUUUGAAGUAUGACAGAUGAUGCUUGCUUUCUUUUUGAAAUACUCUUGAACUAACUACAAGACCUGUGCUUUAAUCAAUCCAAGCAUGUGUCACAAUCACAACUGAUGUUAUGUAUGUUCAGUCAAGGCUUCUGCAAAUGCAUGGCAGUUCAUGAAAUUUGAGCACCAUUCGACAAGCUAGUGCCAAUCAUCACUUCAAGGACCAAAUCAACUACUAAUUGGAGCAAUCUAUUUUCCGACUCUUGAACUAACUACAAGACCUGUGCUUUAAUCAAUCCAAGCAUGUGUCACAAUCACAACUG